rnacentral:rRNA from 1 species
GAUGAACGCUGGCGGCGUGCUUAACACAUGCAAGUCGAACGGUGAAAGAGAGCUUGCUCUCUGGAUCAGUGGCGAACGGGUGAGUAACACGUGAGCAAUCUGCCCUUGACUCUGGGAUAAGCGCUGGAAACGGCGUCUAAUACCGGAUACGAGCCGCGAAGGCAUCUUCAGCAGCUGGAAAGAACUUCGGUCAAGGAUGAGCUCGCGGCCUAUCAGCUAGUUGGUGAGGUAACGACUCACCAAGGCGUCGACGGGUAGCCGGCCUGAGAGGGUGACCGGCCACACUGGGACUGAGACACGGCCCAGACUCCUACGGGAGGCAGCAGUGGGGAAUAUUGCACAAUGGGCGCAAGCCUGAUGCAGCAACGCCGCGUGAGGGACGACGGCCUUCGGGUUGUAAACCUCUUUUAGCAGGGAAGAAGCGAAAGUGACGGUACCUGCAGAAAAAGCACCGGCUAACUACGUGCCAGCAGCCGCAGUAAAAC